UACGAAGGGGGCUAGCGUUGUUCGGAAUUACUGGGCGUAAAGCGCACGUAGGCGGACUACUAAGUCAGGGGUGAAAUCCCGGGGCUCAACCCCGGAACUGCCUUUGAUACUGAUAGUCUCGAGUCCGGAAGAGGUGAGUGGAAUUCCGAGUGUAGAGGUGAAAUUCGUAGAUAUUCGGAGGAACACCAGUGGCGAAGGCGGCUCACUGGUCCGGUACUGACGCUGAGGUGCGAAAGCGUGGGGAGCGAACGGG
rnacentral:rRNA from 1 species